UACGGAGGAUCCAAGCGUUAUCCGGAAUUACUGGGCGUAAAGAGCUCGUAGGCGGCUCAGUAAGUCAGGUGUGAAAACUCCAGGCUCAACCUGGAGACGCCACCUGAUACUGCUGUGGCUAGAGUCCGGUAGGGGAGCAUGGAAUUCCUGGUGUAGCGGUGAAAUGCGCAGAUAUCAGGAGGAACACCAGUGGCGAAGGCGGUGCUCUGGGCCGGAACUGACGCUGAGGAGCGAAAGCGUGGGGAGCAAACAGG
rnacentral:rRNA from 1 species